rnacentral:rRNA from 1 species
AGUGAACGCUGGCGGUAGGCCUAACACAUGCAAGUCGAACGGCAGCACAGUAAGAGCUUGCUCUUACGGGUGGCGAGUGGCGGACGGGUGAGGAAUACAUCGGAAUCUACUUUUUCGUGGGGGAUAACGUAGGGAAACUUACGCUAAUACCGCAUACGACCUACGGGUGAAAUCAGGGGAUCUUCGGACCUUUCGCGAUUGAAUGAGCCGAUGUCGGAUUAGCUAGUUGGCGGGGUAAAGUCCCACCAAGGCGACGAUCCGUAGCUGGUCUGAGAGGAUGAUCAGCCACACUGGAACUGAGACACGGUCCAGACUCCUACGGGAGGCAGCAGUGGGGAAUAUUCGACAAUGGGCGAAAGCCUGAUCCAGCCAUACCGCGUGGGUGAAGAAGGCCUUCGGGUUGUAAAGCCCUUUUGUUGGGAAAGAAAAGCAGCAGGUUAAUCCCCCGCUGUUCUGACGGUACCCAAAGAAUAAGCACCGGCUAACUUCGUG